CUAUUACUCCCUCCGUCCGAAAAUACUUGUCAUUAAAAUGGACAAAAAGAAAUAUAUCUAGAACUAAAAUACAUCUAGAUACAUCUCCUUUUAUUCAUUUUGAUGACGAGUAUUUUCGGACGGAGGGAGUACAAG
rfam:Triticum aestivum genome assembly, contig: Triticum_aestivum_CS42_TGACv1_scaffold_288506_4AL